rnacentral:rRNA from 1 species
GACGUACGCUGGCGGCGUGCUUAACACAUGCAAGUCGAACGGAAAGGCCCUGCUUUUGUGGGGUGCUCGAGUGGCGAACGGGUGAGUAACACGUGAGUAACCUGCCCUUGACUUUGGGAUAACUUCAGGAAACUGGGGCUAAUACCGGAUAGGAGCUCCUGCUGCAUGGUGGGGGUUGGAAAGUUUCGGCGGUUGGGGAUGGACUCGCGGCUUAUCAGCUUGUUGGUGGGGUAGUGGCUUACCAAGGCUUUGACGGGUAGCCGGCCUGAGAGGGUGACCGGCCACAUGGGGACUGAGAUACGGCCCAGACUCCUACGGGAGGCAGCAGUGGGGAAUAUUGCACAAUGGGCGGAAGCCUGAUGCAGCAACGCCGCGUGCGGGAUGACGGCCUUCGGGUUGUAAACCGCUGUCGCCUGUGACGAAGCGUGAGUGACGGUAAUGGGUAAAGAAGUACCGGCUAACUACGUG